GGCCGCCUGGCGUAAUGGCAACGCGUCUGACUACGAUCUUGCAAGGGCUAACCCUGCAAGCUUAUGUAAUCAGGAGACUGCAGGUUCGACCCCUGCGGUGGUCA